rnacentral:rRNA from 1 species
CCCUUAGAUGUUCUGGGCUGCACACGUGCUACACUGGCAGGUUCAGCGAGCUUCAUGCCCUGAUCUGAAAGGAAUGGGAAAUCUUUUCAAAACCUGCCGUGCUUGGGAUAGAUGUUUGCAAUUAUUCAUCUUCAACGAGGAUUGCCUUGUAAGCGCACGUCAUCAGCGUGCAUUGAAUACGACCCUGUAUUCUGUACACACCGCCCGUCGCUCCUACCGAUUGAAGUUUUCGGUGAGUUGACAGGAGGAUUUUUUUGAAACUGGUUCGCCAGUGGAUUUUAGAUCCUAAUGCCAACGAAUCGAUGGCUUUAGAGGAAGGAGAAGUCGUAACA